UACGGAGGGUGCAAGCGUUAUCCGGAUUUACUGGGUUUAAAGGGUGCGUAGGCGGAUAGGUAAGUCAGGGGUGAAAUCUUCGAGCUUAACUCGGAAACUGCCUUUGAUACUAUCUAUCUUGAAUAUUGUGGAGGUAAGCGGAAUAUGUCAUGUAGCGGUGAAAUGCUUAGAUAUGACAUAGAACACCUAUUGCGAAGGCAGCUUACUGCGCAUAUAUUGACGCUGAGGCACGAAAGCGUGGGGAUCAAACAGG
rnacentral:rRNA from 1 species